rnacentral:tRNA from 1 species
GAAGGUAUAGUUCAAUGGUAGAGUGGAUGUUUAGCAUGCAUGAGGUCCUGGGUUCAACCCCCAGUACCUCUA